UAAUUGGAGAGUUUGAUCCUGGCUCAGAGUUAACGUUGGCGGCGUGCAUAACACAUGCAAGUCGAACGAGAAUCAAAUGGCUUGCCAUUUGAGGAAAGUGGCAAACGGGUGAGUAACACGUAAGUAAUCUGCCCUUGAGUGGGGAAUAGCCUCGCGAAAGCGGGAUUAAUACCGCAUAAUUCUCUGGGACAAAAGUCUUCAGAGACAAAGCCUUCGGGCGCUUGAGGAUGAGCUUGCGGCCUAUUAGCUAGUUGGUAGGGUAACUGCCUACCAAGGCAAGGAUGGGUAGCCGGCCUGAGAGGGUGUACGGUCACACUGGAACUGCGACACGGUCCAGACUCCUACGGGAGGCAGCAGUGGGGAAUUUUGCGCAAUGGGUGAAAACCUGACGCAGCGACGCCG
rnacentral:rRNA from 1 species